GAUGAACGCUGGCGGCGUGCCUAACACAUGCAAGUCGCGGGAGAAGUACCUUCGGGUACGGAAACCGGCGCACGGGUGAGUAACACGUAGCUUAUCUGCCCCUUAGCGGUGGAUAACCUUUGGAAACAGAGGCUAAUACACCAUAAGCUCACGGACUGUAGAGGUCUGCGAGAAAAGUUCAGGCGCUAAGGGAUGAGGCUGCGAGCCAUCAGCUAGUUGGUGAGGUAAAGGCUUACCAAGGCGACGACGGCUAGGGGACCUGAGAGGGUGACCCCCCACACUGGAACUGAGACACGGUCCAGACUUCUACGGAAGGCAGCAGUGAGGAAUAUUGCACAAUGGGCGCAAGCCUGAUGCAGCGACGCCGCGUGGGUGAAGAAGGAUUUCGGUCUGUAAAGCCCUUUUCUGUGUGACGAGAAUGGACGGUAGCACAGGAAUAAGUCUCGGCUAACUACGUGC
rnacentral:rRNA from 1 species